rnacentral:hammerhead_ribozyme from 1 species
AUCCAUAUGACGAGUCCCAAAUAUGACGAAGUAACGCGCGUCGUGAAU